UUCACCACAAAUCUAAUAUACCCCAAUACUAAUUUUGAGUAUCGGGUAUAAAAAUGUAAUGGGAAGUUUUAUUUGAUGUUUACAAGCGUACUUUAAGAAUUUACUCAGAGACGACUCGUCACCUGAACCCACUUAAUCUACCAAUAAAACCCUCAAUUGAAACAGCUCAACAGCCUGAGUUAAGCCGAUGAAGAAUACCCCUCAGCUCCGAGCUCAUAAUUUUAUCGGAUUGAUGAAUCACUUUCCUUCAAGGCUGGAUAAUUUUAAUUUUUUUUGACCCCAUAAAGUAUUUAUAUUCUUGAUCAGCAUCAAUAGCCGAAUGAAUAUAGCCAUGCAUGUCUGUCCGUCUGUGCGAACCGAUGAGCGCCUAGAUCCCAGAGACUUUAAAGGCUAGAUAAACUUAAUUUUGUAUCCAGAUUCCAGUUAAAUGAUACGAGAAAACUAAAAGCGCAGAAUUAUUGAGAAUAAGCAUAUCUACCAGAUCUACGAAUCUGGGAAAACGGUUCCCCUACCGCGUCCACAUGUCCCACUUCCUGCCACCCAUCGUGCAGUAUCUGUACAUAUGCCUGAGCAUUAUCUAGCUAUCGUGUGGGAUCCCGAUCCUGGUAGCGUCUCUCGCGUGAGCUCCUAACCGGCGUGGACUUUCUGCACUCGCAUCGCAUCAUAUCAUCCUUCAAAAUACAUAUGAAUCAAGCUUAUGUUUAAAUCUCUGUUGUUGCCAUAGAUCAGCAUUGGCCCCAAAUCCAUCCUAAGUUUCAGUGUACUCCUUCGCCAAAUGCUGUCCCACAGCACAGGGAACUCAUUGGCAGCAUUCCCUUUUCUAACAAACAUGCAGCUCGUCGAGGAUUAAAACGAACGGCUCAUUCGCAUAAAGUUGAAGUUAAUAAUAGAAACGAACCUUUUCAAUAUUCUAUUUGAAGAUGGAAUCGUCUAAGAGGUUCCCGAUAUUAAAAAACCCAUAUAUAAAACCGAAUCUUCUUUAGUUGGUGUUGAACUUGUUGACUUCCGGUCUGCCGCAGCAGCUCCAACACCUGGACGCCUCCGCCCCUUCACUCCUGGACAGCCCUUACCUGGCCAGCAUCCCCUCGAUCCCGUCGAUGGAGUGCCCUGGUGGCCUGGUCUGCCACCACACAUCCCAUAUAGGAGCCACCACCAGCAGCAGCAGAUGAACACAAAGCAUUCCAUCAACGAUAUCCUGGGAGGACGCUCUGGAGGAAGCAAAAGCAGCAACCAACAGCAGACGCCCCAGCAAUUGCAACUGCAAGACCAGUAGGCACUCACGGUAGCACCGACGUCGCCUCUCCAAAAACUGGGGCACGAAGGGAACGGCACACAUUACAAUAUUAUUGGCCGUUUCCGUUUCCAACCCGAUUCAGUUACCAAAACCGUUUAUCACAUCAAAAUUUUGCAGUUUAUUGUUUUAGCACAGAGACCAAGAAUUGGUAUCGGGAUCAGGAUAUGGUAUAUACAGGAAACUAAUUAAAUGCAUGAAAUAAAAUGCAUAAAACAUAUCAAUUUGAGAAAAGGUCUUUAUUAAUUAAUCUUUAAAAAAGCAUCUUCUAUCUUUGAAAUUAACGAAAUAAAGUAUACAAAUGCCCAGACACAGGCUAACAAGCAACAAAUACCACCAAAAUACCACUUUUCACGAAUCGACAGCAGCAGCAGUAGAAGCAAAAACAACAACAGCACCUUCACUGUUAAUGGAAACACCUCGGGGCAUCAAAACAUCAAGCCCCCUGGCAAGACCCCAAGAAGACCAUUAAUUGAGCACGCCGGCGGCUUAAAUAGUUCUUAGGCAGUUGGGUAUUAGUGUCAGAGGGAAUCAAGUGGAAUGGAGUGGUAUCGAGCGGUAACUUGCAUUGCGUUUCGCAAAUAAAUUUACUUAAUUUAAA